rnacentral:rRNA from 1 species
UUUCGACACACUAUCAUUAACUGAAUCCAUAGGUUAAUGAGGCGAACCGGGGGAACUGAAACAUCUAAGUACCCCGAGGAAAAGAAAUCAACCGAGAUUCCCCCAGUAGCGGCGAGCGAACGGGGAGGAGCCCAGAGCCUGAAUCAGUGUGUGUGUUAGUGGAAGCGUCUGGAAAGGCGCGCGAUACAGGGUGACAGCCCCGUACACAAAAAUGCACAU